UAGAAAGCAUAAAAAGCCUAUGGCAUAACACAUGUUUUACGGCUUGUACUAAAAUCACUAGUUGGACCUAAAACUUGUUUGAUUAGUCCAUGACUUAGAUUUAAUCUGAUUAAAUGUUGAAUUCAUCAAAAUUCCGAUGAGAUUUUUUUUAUGCUCAACUGUUUGUUUAAUAGAUCAAGUUAAAUUUUAAAAGCAAAAGACCAUGAUUUGCUCAGGGAUAUUAACCAUUUUAUAUUUGUUGGUAUAAUAUUAUAAAUUGAAAACCAAAAAUAACAAUUUUGGAUGAUAUCAACAGUAGAUGGGAUAAUGAAGGAAAUCUGAAGCAACUCUAAAGUCGACUUACACAUUCAACCUUUUCAACUCUAUCUCUUCCUAACAAGCUCAUGUCUGAGACAAAAGUGGACGUGAUUAACAUGAUAAUUACGUUGGGUAUUAAACGCCGGAGAGAUUUAUUAUUACCGAGAACACAAUUAUAAUCAAAUAAAUGAUAUAAGCGAUGUUAAAAGCUUUAAUGGGCAAGGUUACAGUCGUUGGAUAAUAUGCAUUUACAAUGGUCUUGGCGGUGGAACAUCAUUAUUAGCUUUACUGUGAUUUUGGAUAAAUGAAUUGCAAAUUAAACUGUUGGUCAGGUGAGAAUGGCACUAAUCUCUGUUUAAUUUAAAUCUCUUUAAAUCAAGCUUAAUAGUCCAUAGACGGUAAUUAGACGGGGAAACCAGAUUCAUUUUAGGUUAAACACGCUCAUUUUGAAGACUGGAAAUCCUUGAUAUUUAACACAAUUUUUAAUGAAAUGGUUCAACAUGGAGAGGAGUAAAUUGUCCAAAAACAGAAUUAUAAUGAUAAUAAAAAUAAUAAUACCAAC